GAAAAAGAUAUUAAGGGCCAUAGGUGGAUGCCUUGGCUGGUAGAGGCGAUGAAGGACGUAUUAGGCUGCGAUAAGCCUCGGGGAGCUGCCAAAGAGCUUUGAUCCGGGGAUUUCCGAAUGGGGCAACCCACUGUAUCGAGAGGUACAGUACCCUACGGGGGGCGAACUCAGGGAAGUGAAACAUCUCAGUACCUGAAGGAAAAUAAAUCAAACGAGAUUCCCAAAGUAGCGGCGAGCGAAAUGGGAUAUAGGACAAACCGAAUGCUUGCAUUCGGGGUUGCGGACUGCAUACGGCAUUGCGAGUCGAUAGAAGAAUGAGUUGGAAAGCUCGACCAUAGAGGGUGAUAGUCCCGUAUUUGAAAUUGACAGACAGCUAGCAGGAUCCAGAGUAGGUCGGGACACGUGUUAUCUUGACUGAAGCCGGGGGGACCACCCUCCAAUCCUAAAUACUACUACCAGACCGAUAGCGAACUAGUACCGUAAGGGAAAGGUGAAAAGAACUGCGGUGA
rnacentral:rRNA from 1 species